GGUUAAGCGACUAAGCGUACACGGUGGAUGCCCUGGCAGUCAGAGGCGAUGAAGGACGUGCUAAUCUGCGAUAAGCGCCGGUAAGGUGAUAUGAACCGUUAUAACCGGCGAUUUCCGAAUGGGGAAACCCAGUGUGAUUCGUCACACUAUCAUUAACUGAAUCCAUAGGUUAAUGAGGCGAACCGGGGGAACUGAAACAUCUAAGUACCCCGAGGAAAAGAAAUCAACCGAGAUUCCCCCAGUAGCGGCGAGCGAACGGGGAGGAGCCCAGAGCCUGAAUCAGCAUGUGUGUUAGUGGAAGCGUCUGGAAAGGCGCGCGAUACAGGGUGACAGCCCCGUACACAAAAAUGCACAUGCUGUGAGCUCGAUGAGUAGGGCGGGACACGUGGUAUCCUGUCUGAAUAUGGGGGGACCAUCCUCCAAGGCUAAAUACUCCUGACUGACCGAUAGUGAACCAGUACCGUGAGGGAAAGGCGAAAAGAACCCCGGCGAGGGGAGUGAAAAAGAACCUGAAACCGUGUACGUACAAGCAGUGGGAGCCCCACCACUAAGCCAGUGGUGAACUCCACAUACGCAUCCUUUGCUGAGGAUACGGUUAACGGAGCGCAAGCGACGUUCAACCGCAAAAGAAGCAGAGGGGGCUUAGUGGUGGGGUGACUGCGUACCUUUUGUAUAAUGGGUCAGCGACUUAUAUUCUGUAGCAAGGUUAACCGWAUAGGGGAGCCGGAGGGAAACCGAGUCUUAAYYGGGCGUUAAGUUGCAGGGUAUAGACCCGAAACCCGGUGAUCUAGCCAUGGGCAGGUUGAAGGUUGGGUAACACUAACUGGAGGACCGAACCGACUAAUGUUGAAAAAUUAGCGGAUGACCUGUGGCUGGGGGUGAAAGGCCAAUCAAACCGGGAGAUAGCUGGUUCUCCCCGAAAGCUAUUUAGGUAGCGCCUCGUGAAUUCAUCUCCGGGGGUAGAGCACUGUUUCGG
rnacentral:rRNA from 1 species